AGCUGAGAUUUCCUGAGGAGAAAGUGCCCAAUGAUGGAAUUUUACUUUCCAAGUGUGGACGACUGAAGGACAGUUUGAAAAGCCUUCUAUCAAUAUUAGAGGAUACUCGAAAGAGUUUACAAUCUGCUUCCGCUUUGAGAUGAGGAGGAGACAGAUGUGAGAGAAGGCUGGCACUGGCUUUGAGACGAGGAGCCACAGGCUGUCAGUGGUGCCGCUGAAAAAGUCUCUUGCAGUGGCCCAAAGAGAUGACAUCUGGAGAGUCUAAGGCUACAAGCUUAAUGUGUGCCUGGUCUCUCCCAAGCUCCAGUCCUCGUUUUAUUGGAAAUUUACUGAAUCACCAUGAAGAU